rnacentral:rRNA from 1 species
GACGGAGGAUGCAAGCGUUAUCCGGAAUGAUUGGGCGUAAAGCGUCCGCAGGUGGCAGUUCAAGUCUGCUGUCAAAGACCGGGGCUUAACUUCGGAAAGGCAGUGGAAACUGAACAGCUAGAGUAUGGUAGGGGCAGAGGGAAUUCCUGGUGUAGCGGUGAAAUGCGUAGAGAUCAGGAAGAACAUCGGUGGCGAAGGCGCUCUGCUGGACCAUAACUGACACUCAGGGACGAAAGUGUGGGGAGCGAACAGG